GGGGCGUUGGCGCAACGGCAGCGCGUCUGACUCCAGAUCAGAAGGUUGGGUGUUCGAAUCACUCACGCCUCA
rnacentral:tRNA from 1 species